rnacentral:rRNA from 1 species
CCCUUAGAUGUUCUGGGCCGCACGCGCGCUACACUGUUCGACGCAGCGAGUCUUAACCUUGACCGAAAGGUUUGGGUAAUCUUCAGCAAAGUCGAACGUGAUGGGGAUCGAUCAUUGCAAUUAUUGAUCGUGAACGAGGAAUUCCUAGUAAGUGCAAGUCAUCAGCUUGCGCUGAUUACGUCCCUGCCCUUUGUACACACCGCCCGUCGCUACUACCGAUUGAAUGGUUUAGUGAGAUCUUCGGAUUGGCGCCACUGCGGCUCAGCAAUGGGCUCGGUGGAUGCCGAAAAGUUGAUCAAACUUGAUCAUUUAGAGGAAGUAAAAGUCGUAACA